AUGCAAGUCGAACGAUGAAGCCGCUUCGGUGGUGGAUUAGUGGCGAACGGGUGAGUAACACGUGGGCAAUCUGCCCUGUACUUCGGGAUAAGCCUUGGAAACGGGGUCUAAUACCGGAUGGGACUGCCGGCCGCAUGGUCUGGUGGUGGAAAGCUCCGGCGGUACAGGAUGAGCUCGCGGCCUAUCAGCUUGUUGGUGGGGUGAUGGCCUACCAAGGCGACGACGGGUAGCCGGCCUGAGAGGGCGACCGGCCACACUGGGACUGAGACACGGCCCAGACUCCUACGGGAGGCAGCAGUGGGGAAUAUUGCACAAUGGGCGCAAGCCUGAUGCAGCGACGCCGCGUGAGGGAUGACGGCCUUCGGGUUGUAAACCUCUUUCAGCAGGGAAGAAGCCUUAAAAA
rnacentral:rRNA from 1 species